UACGUAGGGAGCAAGCGUUGUCCGGAAUCAUUGGGCGUAAAGCGCGCGUAGGUGGCUUCGUAAGUCCGUUGUGAAAGUCAAAGGCUCAACCUUUGAAAGCCGAUGGAUACUGUGAAGCUAGAGUACGGAAGAGGCGAGUGGAAUUCCUGGUGUAGCGGUGGAAUGCGCAGAUAUCAGGAAGAACACCCGUGGCGAAGGCGGCUCUCUGGUACGUGACUGACGCUGAGACGCGAAAGCGUGGGGAGCAAACAGG
rnacentral:rRNA from 1 species